GUUACACUCAGCAGUGUUUUGCAGUUUUCAGUAUACACUUUAUUUCUCAGAUUUAUUCUUAAGUAGCUCAUAUUUUUAUGUUAUUGUGAAUGUUAAUGUAAAUAUUUAAUUGUUCAUUGUCUAGCCAUUCCCUCAUAUGCACCUGUUGAUCAGAAGGGGUUAUUAUCUUCAUAUUUACAUACUGAAGAAGGAGCCUCUGCAGGUUUUUGCAGCUCUCCUAGGGUAGUGCUCUCUCCGAUGUAGAAGACCCUGCAAAUUUCUUCAUCUCCAUAGAAUCUCCUCUGUGCUUCUACCUCAGGGAGUCCUCUGAACUGUGAGCUCCCCUUCCCUGCAAAGGGAACUGUAAACUCUUUAAUAACAGUAGACUAGGCAAAUGCAGACCACCUUCAUUCGUUUUCCAACUUUGUUGUUUGAUGUUCACUGCUCCCAAACCGUUGUUUCAUAUAUUUUGUAUGGUUUUUGGUUGUUUCCAAUGGGAAGAUAAAUCUUAUUAUUUUUAUUGCAUCCUGCUUGGAAAUGAAUUUUCACAUUUAAAAAAUAUUCUGAUCAUUUUUUUGUUCUAACUUAUAAUGAUAAAAUACUUUGAGCAUAUACAACAGUAAGAGAAUAUAACCAUGAAGCCCCCGUACCUAUCACCUAGAUUAAAUAAUUACCAACUUGUUGAAUCUUUUUUUAAAGCUGUAUUACUAAUUCUUUUACCCUAGAUUAUUCUGUAACUAUUUCAAAUAUCAUUUCAUUUGAAACAGCAUGUAGCUUUUGUAUAUAAAGACCUCUUUUUAAUUCCCUUAUUAUUUAAAAACCCCUUCAAUGUUCAAAUCUGUCAGUUAUAUAGUCAGUUAUAUAGUUCAGAUUUCUUCAACUGAAUCAGUGUGUAUCUAUACAUUAAUUAUAGAAUUUCUAACUAUAUUAUAUAUUAUUUUGUGUACAUAUAAGAUAAUUGUAAAUAUGUAAAAAUAUAUAUGUUUUAAUAUAAAAAUAUUAUAUAUACAUUUUCCAAAUCAGGAUUUCCAUAUCCUGCAAUUGAUUAUGUUUUAAGUGUAUUUCAAUCCACAGGUUCCCUCCUCCAUAUCUUAUUUUUGCCUUGCAAAUUUUUUGUUGAAGAAAAUAAGUGAUUAUAUAUUACUUGUUAGACCUAGAGGCUUUGAUUAUUGGCAAGAAUAGUCUAUGAUUGGCAUUGUAUACUGAAAGCACAUAACAUCUAAUUGUCAUAUUUUUGUAGUGUGAGCAGACAUAAAUGCUCAUGUCUUAGGUUUAUUAUUUCAUUAGGAGCUGCAAUAUAU
rnacentral:lncRNA from 1 species